rnacentral:rRNA from 1 species
AGCAGCCGCGGUAAUUCCAGCUCCAAUAGCGUAUAUUAAAGUUGUUGCAGUUAAAAAGCUCGUAGUUGAACUUCAGGCCUGUCCAGACGGUCCGCCUUAAUUGGUGUGUACUGUCCUUGGGUGGGUCCUACCUUCUGGCGAAGCGGCAUGGCCUUAAUUGGUUGUGUCGGGGAACCAGGACUUUUACUGUGAAAAAAUUAGAGUGUUCAAAGCAGGCAAAUAUGCUCGAAUACAUUAGCAUGAAAUAAUGGAAUAGGACGAUGGUUCUAUUUUGUUGGUUCUAGGACCGUUGUAAUGAUUAAUAGGGAUAGUUGGGGGCAUUAGUAUUCAAUUGUCAGAGGUGAAAUUCUUGGAUUUAUUGAAGACUAACUACUGCGAAAGCAUUUGCCAAGGAUGUUUUCAUUAAUCAAGAACGAAAGUUAGGGGAUCGAAGACGAUCAGAUACCGUCG